rnacentral:rRNA from 1 species
GAUCAUGGCUCAGGACGAACGCUGGCGGCGUGCCUAAUACAUGCAAGUAGAACGCUGAAGGAGGAGCUUGCUUCUCUGGAUGAGUUGCGAACGGGUGAGUAACGCGUAGGUAACCUGCCUGGUAGCGGGGGGAUAACUAUUGGAAACGAUAGCUAAUACCGCAUAAUAGUAGAUGUUGCAUGACAUUUGCUUGAAAGGUGCAAUUGCAUCACUACCAGAUGG